rnacentral:sRNA from 2 species
GACCCACCAAUUUAACAUCAAACUCAGAUGUUGAACGUGAAGGAUAACGUUGCGUCAGCAACGGCCCGUAGGGCGAGGCGAAGCCGAGUCAUCCUGCACGACCCACCA